AGAGUUUGAUCCUGGCUCAGGAUGAACGCUGGCGGCGUGCUUAACACAUGCAAGUCGAACGAAGCACCUUAUUCUGAUUUCUUCGGAAUGAAAAAUUUGGUGACUGAGUGGCGGACGGGUGAGUAACGCGUGGGUAACCUGCCUCAUACAGGGGGAUAACAGUUAGAAAUGACUGCUAAUACCGCAUAAGACCACAGCACCGCAUGGUGCAGGGGUAAAAACUCCGGUGGUAUGAGAUGGACCCGCGUCUGAUUAGGUAGUUGGUGGGGUAACGGCCUACCAAGCCGACGAUCAGUAGCCGACCUGAGAGGGUGACCGGCCACAUUGGGACUGAGACACGGCCCAAACUCCUACGGGAGGCAGCAGUGGGGAAUAUUGCACAAUGGGGGAAACCCUGAUGCAGCGACGCCGCGUGGAGGAAGAAGGUCUUCGGAUUGUAAACUCCUGUUGUUGAGGAAGAUAAUGACGGUACUCAACAAGGAAGUGACGGCUAACUACGUGCCAGCAGCCGCGGUAAAACGUAGGUCACAAGCGUUGUCCGGAAUUACUGGGUGUAAAGGGAGCGCAGGCGGGAGAACAAGUUGGAAGUGAAAUCCAUGGGCUCAACCCAUGAACUGCUUUCAAAACUGUUUUUCUUGAGUAGUGCAGAGGUAGGCGGAAUUCCCGGUGUAGCGGUGGAAUGCGUAGAUAUCGGGAGGAACACCAGUGGCGAAGGCGGCCUACUGGGCACCAACUGACGCUGAGGCUCGAAAGUGUGGGUAGCAAACAGGAUUAGAUACCCUGGUAGUCCACACCGUAAACGAUGAUUACUAGGUGUUGGAGGAUUGACCCCUUCAGUGCCGCAGUUAACACAAUAAGUAAUCCACCUGGGGAGUACGACCGCAAGGUUGAAACUCAAAGGAAUUGACGGGGGCCCGCACAAGCGGUGGAGCAUGUGGUUUAAUUCGAAGCAACGCGAAGAACCUUA
rnacentral:rRNA from 1 species